rnacentral:rRNA from 1 species
AUGCACGCUGGCGGCGUGCCUCAUCCCUGCAAGUCGCGCGAACGGACGAGAAGCUUGCUUCUCUGAUGUUAGCGGCGGACGGGUGAGUAACACGUGGAUAACCUACCUAUAAGACUGGGAUAACUUCGGGAAACCGUAGCUAAUACCGGAUAAUAUUUUGAACCGCAUGGUUCAAAAGUGAAAGACGGUCUUGCUGUCACUUAUAGAUGGAUCCGCGCUGCAUUAGCUAGUUGGUAAGGUAACGGCUUACCAAGGCAACGAUGCAUAGCCGACCUGAGAGGGUGAUCGGCCACACUGGAACUGAGACACGGUCCAGACUCCUACGGGAGGCAGCAUUAGGGAAUCUUCCGCAAUGGGCGAAAGCCUGACGGAGCAACGCCGCGUGAGUGAUGAAGGUCUUCGGAUCGUAAAACUCUGUUAUUAGGGAAGAACAUAUGUGUAAGUAACUGUGCACAUCUUGACGGUACCUAAUCAGAAAGCCACGGCUAACUACGUG